AACGAUCAGGUAAAGUGGACAGACUGGAGCUCGCAAGAGUUCUUGGAAGUCCAUUGAACCUCGCCGUUUAGAGGAAGGAGAAGUCGUAACAAGGUAUCGGUAGGUGAACCUGCCGAUGGAUCAUUAG
rnacentral:rRNA from 1 species